AGUGAACGCUGGCGGUAGGCCUAACACAUGCAAGUCGAACGGCAGCACAGUAAGAGCUUGCUCUUACGGGUGGCGAGUGGCGGACGGGUGAGGAAUACAUCGGAAUCUACUUUUUCGUGGGGGAUAACGUAGGGAAACUUACGCUAAUACCGCAUACGACCUACGGGUGAAAGCAGGGGAUCUUCGGACCUUGCGCGAUUGAAUGAGCCGAUGUCGGAUUAGCUAGUUGGCGGGGUAAAGGCCCACCAAGGCGACGAUCCGUAGCUGGUCUGAGAGGAUGAUCAGCCACACUGGAACUGAGACACGGUCCAGACGCCUACGGGAGGCAGCAGUGUGGAAUAUUGGACAAUGGGCGCAAGCCUGAUCCAGCCAUACCGCGUGGGUGAAGAAGGCCUUCGGGUUGUAAAGCCCUUUUGUUGGGAAAGAAAAGCAGCAGGUUAAUACCCCGCGGUUCUGACGGUACCCAAAGAAGAAGCACCGGCUAACUUCGUG
rnacentral:rRNA from 1 species